CCCCCAAACAUUCUGAAAUUUUAAAAAAGAUAAUAAAUAAAUAAAUUGGAAAAACAAAAAAGAUAGUGGUUAAAGGCUCCCAUUUGACUUUGAAUCCUGCGCUACCAUUUUCUAGAUAUGUGAUCAUGGAUGAGUCAGUUAACUUCCUUAACUCUCAGUUUCAGUUUUCUCUGUGAAACAGGAUGAUGAUGCCUACCUUACAGGACUGAUCAAAUAAAAUCAUGCCUGUCCAGCCUGUGCCGGACAAAACAUGGGCUUUCCACCAAUGGUGGCUUUCGUUGUUCUUGCUAGAUUCUACUGGUCACACCCCACACCCUCUUUUUCUAAGAAUCCCUUUGGGAGAGGCAUCCUUGGAUUUGCAGUGGGUCCAGAAGACUGAGGGACCUUGGGUAUUUAGUAGGAACAUACCAAGUUUCUAGACUUCUAAGAUGCCUUAAUUUGCUUGGGUAAAGGGUGAGGGACACAGGAAUCACGUGAGGGGAAGAAAUGCUCCCUGGACCAGUCCCAGGCCACAGUCUGGGACUCUGCAGCGGCUCUAACUCAUGCCGCUUAGCUGUCGGUUGCCCAGAGGAAUCUGCUUUGCUAUGGCUUUCAGAGUAGGCUGAUGUUGUCUUUUUCCACAAACCAUAUACAGGGUAAUUGAUAAGUACUUUUUGGUGUUUUCCUAGAAACAGGAGUCCAUAUUUGUCUUGGAAAGGCUGUGCAUAUUUCAGAUGACUGAUAAGAAUGUACUGGGUCUGUCCUCGGCCUUGUACUUGCUGUACUUUUUAUUAUUUGUUCCUGGAGCCCAGUGAAGCAAAACACCCUCUCCAGACAUAUCCAAAAGAGAGCAAUAGGCUUACACACUGAAUCAGCACUUCAGAGCCACGGACAGUAGUGCACAGACUUACUUAGAAGGGCAGAAAGUGCCCUGGUGGGCAAAUCAGAUUAGUAAUAUGAACAGAAACAAUCAAACACUCGACACAGGCCAUGCAAGAGGGGGGCUGCGAAGCUGAGAUGAUGGCAAAGUGCUCCUGAACCCCGGUCAACAUUCAGUGCAUCAGGCCUUGAUGUCCAAAGGACAGCUCCACACCCAGGUGAGGUUUGGCAUGCACUGGAAAGCCCGGAAUCCACUGUUCAUUUUUCAAAAGUCCAGUUACGAGGAUGCAUUAAGUACUAUUAAUUGUAUUCUUCAAGGUGAUGUAAAGAGAUUGUAAGGAAGUUUCAAUGCUUUGUACUGAAAACAGAAAGGGUAAAAACCCAAUUUUAUUUCUAGCAUAUACUCACACAUCAUACUUUGCCUAGUCUCACUUCCUCCUUCAAGACGCAGGCCUACUGCGGCUAUAUGGAGGUCAACUACUGAUCGAAAGUAGGAAGCGCAGCACAGGCAGCCACUGCUGACCCACCAGUGGAGAAGCCCGACAGGGACUCUGGCAACGCUGCAGGAACAAUCUUUUCAAUAUUACCCAAAACAUGCUACCAAGUAGGAGAAAAUUUAAGUCCUAAAUUCCUCUGGUGGGAUCCAAGGAAGCCAAAGAAACCAAGGAAAGGUGGUUUGUUUCUGGGCCUGAGCUCUUGGAAAUUACAUCUCAUAACAACCACAGGAUAGCUGAGAAUGCUGCAAACUCUCUGCCCAUUUCCAAGGUCCUCACUUUUUGAUCAAACAAAUACCAAGGGCAAGGCUGGAUACGGUGUUCAACAGUGCAGACCACAGGAGCUCAAUGUGCCAUUCAAGGCUCAUUCUUCUAUCAACAUAGAAGCAAAGAAAGUUAAAUUUUACCCUGAAAGGAAACAUCUUCUGUUAUAGUCUUAUAAAUAUAAGGAUUACUUCCAGAAGCGGUGAUUUAGACAUACUCUUACUAAAAGUAGAAAGCUGGAUUAAAGGAAUUCUUCCCACAUUCCUUAAUACCUUAUCAUCGUUGGUGUCUGAAAAACGACUCUAUUUUCUCUGAAACUCAACUAAAAUUUUAACUUCUUAGGUCCAAUUUGGUAGGCUAUGGGUGGGGUGGGAAAGGGUGGUGUUUAAAGUGACUGUGCUUGAACAAAUUUAGUCUCAAAGUUAAUCAAAAGAAUUAUUUAAAAAGACAAGCUAGCAAACCUCCUAAGCCAGCAGAAAGUCUGAAGUGAUAUUCUUCAGUGCAGGCCACCGUGUGAUGGAACUGUUUUCUCCAUAUAUUGACGUGGCACUAUAAAUCCAAAUAACCCUUUGGAACUAGUAUAACUGUAUGCAACAGCAAUCCCAAAUUUGUUCAUGCUCUGUGACUCCGUAAUACAGCCUGUCCACUUUUAAAUGCCUUUGAUGUAUUUCCCAGUGAACCUAUUGAGCACCGGGAGGGAAAGGACUCUAGUUCUAUUUUUUUUUUUUUAACUGGACUCACCAUUAUCCUUAGUUCAGGGCCCACCAUCAGCACUGGGCUCUAUUUAUUUGAAACAAAUAAACACCUGUGAAACCACCACGCCCAGCACAAAAACUCCACUGGUGAUCACGUAACUCUAUCGGUGACCAUGUGACUCCAUUGGUAUGGUCUUCUGCCACAUCAAACCCCUGUUCCUCUUCUACCUAAGACAGCGACUGUUUUGAAUCUUUUUUUUAUAAUUCUCUGCUUAUCUUUUUUGUGUAGUCUUAAUCACAUUUCAAAGUACAUUUGGGCACAUUCUUGUUAUAUUCUUUGGGUUUAGUUGUUUGGGGCUUUUUUUUUUCCUUUUAUUUUUAUUUAUGAAAACUUCACUUUGAUGUUUUGGGCUUUUGAAUAAAGAAUAUCACUGUCAUAUUGCUAAAAUUCAGCUGUUAGGCUGGGCACGGUGGCUCACACCUGUAAUCCUACCACUCUGGGAGGCCGAGGCAGGAGGAUUGCUUGAGGU